GCGUUAGGUCACAGCAGAGAGAGGACGCACGCGCCGCGGUUUCCUCAUCCUUCUCCCUUUCUCUGCCCGGCGCCGCCACCCCUCUCCUCGCCGCGCCGCAAGCUGGACUCAUCGGGCUUGGCAUCUAUGGCGACGGCCGACGCCGCCUUUCCUCACCACAGCGGACACAGACGGACGCGUCUCCCUGGUUUCUCACCGAACGACAGGAGCAGCCCCACUGUCGCAAGAAUGGACAAGGAAAAGGGGGAACGAGAGGAGGAGGAGAAGGAGAAGGAGAGGAGCUUGGUGUCCAUUAUGAAGACUAAGCCGCUUGUCCCAGGAAGCAGAAGGGGAAGGGCAAGGGCUGUGUCACUGCCGAGGAAGCGGGCCAAGGAUUACGGCAAUGUCCCGCUCGCCGAGUUGUUAUUAAGGGUAAAAAAAUCUCUGCCGUCUUGACGUCUCGCUGACCCUGCCGACUCCAAGAGCCGCACCAACCCCACCGUCCGCCGCUGGAUGGCGGAUCUCAAGAUCACCGCCUACCAAGCCGACCAUGUCCUCGAAAACUUCCGCUAUGAGGAGGCGCUGCGGCGCCGUGCCGACGACCAUAUCCGCGGCCCCUCCUCCGCAAUGGAGCAUGAUAAGCAAGCAGAAAAGGAUUAUGAAGAGGAGGAAGAGAAUGAGGAGGACGAGGAUGAGCAAGGUACUCUGUUUGACGAGGAGGAAGAUUCUCAUUUUGAUGUCAAAGCGCUAAGUGUUAGGCUAUGCAAAAUUGCAUUGUUUGGCUGUCAACGUUCAAUAUUUUUGCUGUAUAAAGUUCAAAGGAGGAGCUAUCCAAAAUUCAAAAGCAAUGAUGCCCAAUUCUCUCGGUCAUAUUUGUUC